AGCGAGCAUUGGCGGUAGGCUUAACACAUGCAAGUCGAGCGAGGCGUAAUAGUCGAGCGGCGAACGGGUGAGUAAUACAUGGAAAUCUACCCUGAAGUGGGGGAUAACGUCCAGAAAUGGACGCUAAUACCGCAUAAUCCAUAUUGGGAAAGCGUUGCAGCGCUUUAGGAUGAGUCCAUGGCUGAUUAGCUUGUUGGUGAGGUAACGGCUCACCAAGGCGACGAUCAGUAGCUGGUCUGAGAGGAUGACCAGCCACACUGGAACUGAGACACGGUCCAGACUCCGACGGGAGGCAGCAGUGGGGAAUCUUGCGCAAUGGGGGCAACCCUGACGCAGCCAUACCGCGUGAGUGAUGAAGGUCUUCGGAUUGUAAAGCUCUUUCGGCGGGGACGACGAUGACGGUACCCGCAAAAGAAGUCACGGCUAACUUCGUGCCAGCCGCCGCGGUAA
rnacentral:rRNA from 1 species